AGAGAAUACGUAUGGCCCCUUAAUGGUA
rnacentral:sRNA from 1 species